CCCGUUUCCCCCCUUUCCCUCUCUUUGCCUUCGUGUCUCCCUUCGCUCCUUUCCUCUCUUUCUCUCUCUUUGCCUUCUUCCUUCCCUUCUUUUUCCUCUUUCCCUCUGUUUGCCUUCCUCUCUCCCUUCCUUUGCCCCUUUCCUCUCUUUUCCCUCUCCUUGCCUUCUUCUUUCCCCUCUUUUGCCCCUUUCCCCCCUCUUUGCCUUCGUGUCUCCCUUCCUUUGCCCCUUUCCUCUCUUUUCCCUCUCCUUGCCUUCUUCUUUCCCCUCCUUUGCCCCUUUCCCCCCUCUUUGCCUUCCUGUCUCCCUUCCUUUGCCCCUUUCCUCUCUUUUCCCUCUCCUUGCCUUCUUCUUUCCCCUCCUUUGCCCCUUUCCCCCCUCUUUGCCUUCCUGUCUCCCUUCCUUUGCCCCUUUCCUCUCUUUUCCCUCUCCUUGCCUUCUUCUUUCCCCUCCUUUGCCCCUUUCCCCCCUCUUUGCCUUCCUGUCUCCCUUCUUUUGCCCCUUUCCUCUCUUUUCCCUCUCCUUGCCUUCUUCUUUCCCCUCUUUUGCCCCUUUCCCCCCUCUUUGCCUUCCUGUCUCCCUUCCUUUGCCCCUUUCCUCUCUUUUCUCUCUGCUUGCCUUCGUCUUUCCCUUCCGUUGCCCCUUUCCCCCUCUUUGCCUUCCUCUCUCCCUUCCUUUGCCCCUUUCCCCCGUCCCCUCUCUUUGCCUUCGUCUUUCCCUUCCUUAACCCGUUUCCGCCCUUUCCCUCUAAUUGCCUUCUUCUUUUCCUUCCUUUGCCCCUUCCCCCCUUUUUCCCUCUCUUUGCCUCUUUCCCCCUCUUUGCCUUCCUCUUCCCCUUCCUUUGCCCCGUUCCUCCCUUUUCCCUCUUUUUGCCUUCCUCUCUCCUUUCCUUUGCCCCUUUCCCCCUCUUUGCCUUCCUCUCUCCCUUCCUUUGCCCCUUUCCUCCCUUUUCCCUCUUUUUGCCUCCCUCUCUCCUUUCCUUUGCCCUUUCUCUCCCUCCUUUGCCUUCCUCUCUCUCCCCCCUUUUCUCCUCUCCCCUCUCUUUGCCAUUCUCCCUUCAUGCAUUCAAUCGUAUUUAUUGAGCGCUUACCGUGUGCAAAGCACUGUACUAAGCGCUUGGGAGAGGACAAUGUAACAACAGACACAUUCCAGCCCACAACGAGGUCACCUUUUCCCCUCCCCUCUCUACUUUCCUCUCUUCCUUCCUUUGCCCUUUUCCUCCCCUCUCUUUGCCUUCCUCUCUCUCCCCCCUUUUGCCCCUUUCCCCUCGCCCCCCUUUUCCUUUCACUCUCCCCUCCUUUUCCCCUUUCCCCUCCUUCCCUCUCUUUUCCUUCCUGUCCCUCUCUCACCUCCUUCCCACCCUCCCCUCUCUUUUCUUCCCUUUCUCCCCUUCUUUUACUCAUUCCCCUCCUUCCCACUCUUUUCUUUACUCUCUCCCCUCCUCUGCCCCUUUACCCAACUCCCCUCUCCUUUCCCUCCUCUCAGAUGGUCAUGGGUUGUAAUCUCGGCCCUGCCAACUGUCUGCUGUGUGGCCUUGGGCAAGUCACUUAA
rnacentral:lncRNA from 1 species